AAACAAAACAGAUAUGGCAGAAAGAAAACUGUCCCUCAAGGCAAAAAUAAUAAUUUAUUCCAGACUUGGUGAGCACCUUCUAAACUUAUUACAAACUAUAUUUGCCAGUCUUGUUGCUUGAUCUUCACAGCCAAGCAACAUAAAUGCCGCAAUGAUCGAAAUGAUUGAAGUAAAUACAAUGAACAUAUAUCUUGAUAAAUGUAGAGGGCUCUAGCAAUUAAACAAGAAAACUACUAAAUUCAUUUAUAACUAUUAUGCAACACUAAAUUAAAGUCAACAUUAAGCUUCUCUAGUAAUAAACACCCACAUCUCAAUAGGAUGGCGAAAAUGAAUUUCACAAGGUAUUCUAUUUCUGGUCCACUCUGAUCCAUAUACAUGGCCUGAUUAACAUGACAGGACCAUUUAUAGCACAUGACCGACAACAAAGGAUUUAAAUUAUCAUGCAGACAAAUGAGUUUUGCUCCUGCAAUUGUAAGCAAGGGAAGCCUAUGCUAAGCGCUUCUUCUCUCCAUAUGUACUCCUGAUGCUUCUGGUUGUUAAAGCAUCAUCCAUCUACAAAUGAAGUCAAAUGAAAAAAAAAAUUAUAGUUCACAUCAGAAGGAAAGAAAUUGAAAAUAAUUAUGAUCGUUGGUAGACUAAAUGGUUGCAAGGGAGAAAAACAGAGCAAGCUGUAACAAGCAUAUAUGUUGUACUUUAACCACUAGAAUAGUACAUUUAGGUGACUAGCAUGAAAAUUAAGUAAGAUUGUCAGAACUGAAAACAUUGACCAGAGUGCUACAUCAUUUGCAAGUGAAAUACCAACAUCAGUAGAAUAACCCAAAAGAAUUGCCUGCAGCAGAGGUGUAGUGCUUAAAAAGUAUUUAAUAUUAAUAAUACAAAUUUCUAGGCUUGAAUAACAGUUCAUGUCCUAAUCAUGUGUGUGCUUCACAAUUAAGAAUGGGUGUUAAGUUUUUUUUCUAACUCGUAGAUGAGGAAAAUGUAACAUCUUACAAUAAAUGAGUGGAGCCUUGUUAGAAUGCUGCAUCACAAAAACGUAUGGCAGACCAGUGAAGAGAAAAGAACAAGAAUACCAUAUGGCAAAAUAUAUUCAAAGCUUAACAAUGACCGAUCACUUGUAUCAUCAGAAAAGUGAAGGUGUAAUUUGAUGUUGUUACAAGUUCCAACUCUUAAUUGUUUUGUUCAAUAUCAAGUUCACCUGACUUCCAAUCAACCAGAACAAUAUGAUUCAGGAAUGCUCGUAUAGAAUAAGAAAAUUGCAACCGAGCAUUGAUUUAAAGGUAAGUAACCCUCAUCGCUCAAACUUAUGAGCUGAAGAACAUACUUUAUGAAUGUUUGACAUAUGCAAAUUAUUAUUCUAAAUCAAUAGUAAACAAAUAAUUUGAUGGCGUGCAUAAAUGGUAGUCUUCAAAGCAAGAAGUGCAAACCUCCACUCUUGUGUUAUAUUAUUCUUAGAGCAUGUCCUUGCAUCACGGAACACCGCUAUCAUACAAAUGAUGCAUUUCCGUGGAGCAUAUAAAGCUAGAAGUCUAUUGUCACAUCUCAUACAUCCCAAUAUGACUUGCUUGUCAGACUUACUAGAGCAUCAACGCCAAUUUUUAACAGAGUAAUAACAUUGUACUUGACCAAGAUCAAAACUUGACUAAUAAACAUGGACAAGUAUCUAUUGUGUGAAGUAUUGGUAGUUGGUACAUAUUCCCUAUCUGUAUAGAAAAUCAAGAGUUUGGGCAUUGUUUAAGAUGGUUAAAGGAGAUGGUAAUGAUGGCCAAUUUUAGUUUGUGUAAUCUUUAGACCUGUGUGUUUUUUGAUACAAUAUCUCAGCUUUGUUUUGAAGAAAAAAAGAGAGCCCCCCUCUCUGGUUUCCUUUAUAUAAAACCAAUGUCUUACUAGUUGCUACAGAGAAGGGAAAAACAUCUAAAGAACUCUGGAAGUGUUUCGGUUUAUUUAACAGUAGAGCAAGUCUAAAUAACCCCUGGACUGGGGAAGCUCAAAUUUCCAUCACUUUGGCUGAUUGGAAAGCAGUUCAAUAGUGAUACACCAAGCUUGUCAUCAGCCAGUAGAAUACACAUUACCACAACUAAAUCAUGCACUAAUCAGCAUGCUAUUGCUGGAUCCGGAAUGAAUAGAUCAAACAUAGACACGCAUACAGGAAGCUAACAAUUAAAAAACUAAAAAAUGUUAUAAAAUAGAAAUUCAACGAACAUAAGCAUCAUCUCAUAAUGAGUCCCUCACCAUGGUGAUCGAGGACCUGGCACAUGCGGCCGUCGAUCUGCGUCAUCGCGAACACGUCCGUGAUGUGGGACUUCCGACCAAUCACCAACCCGUCAUAUAGUCCAGCACGGUGAAGGUCGGGUGGUGCUCCUGUGGAGCAGACCGUGGCAGAGCUGGAUGUGGCCGAGAUGAUGAUGUGGAGCGCGACGUCGGGGUGCCCGGAGAUGGAUCCAGACGGCCUGGGUGGCGGAGUAGUUAGGGGAGGGG
rnacentral:lncRNA from 1 species